AGAGUUUGAUCCUGGCUCAGAUUGAACGCUGGCGGCAUGCCUAACACAUGCAAGUCGAACGGCAGCGCGGGGAGCUUGCUCCCUGGCGGCGAGUGGCGGACGGGUGAGGAAUGCAUCGGAAUCUGCCCAGUCGUGGGGGAUAACCCGGGGAAACCCGGACUAAUACCGCAUACGACCUUCGGGUGAAAGCGGGGGACCGUAAGGCCUCGCGCGAUUGGAUGAGCCGAUGCCGGAUUAGCUUGUUGGCGGGGUAAUGGCCCACCAAGGCGACGAUCCGUAGCUGGUCUGAGAGGAUGAUCAGCCACACUGGGACUGAGACACGGCCCAGACUCCUACGGGAGGCAGCAGUGGGGAAUAUUGGACAAUGGGGGCAACCCUGAUCCAGCAAUGCCGCGUGUGUGAAGAAGGCCUUCGGGUUGUAAAGCACUUUUAUCGGGAACGAAACAUUGUCGGCCAAUACCCGGCAAGACUGACGGUACCCGAGGAAUAAGCACCGGCUAACUCCGUGCCAGCCGCCGCGGUAAUUC
rnacentral:rRNA from 1 species